GCGUCCUUAGCUCAGCAGGAUCAGAGCGCGGCUCUCCGGAGGCCGAGGCCGGCGGUUCGAGUCCGCCAGGGCGCACCG
rnacentral:tRNA from 1 species